rnacentral:rRNA from 1 species
UUUAGUCGUAAAAUUUUAUUAAAAUUAGUAUUAGCUAUGUUCUUGAAAUUUAAAGAUUUUGGCGGUAUUUUAGUCUUUUCAGAGGAACCUGUUCUAUAAUUGAUAGUCCACGAUUAAUUAAACUUAUCUUAUUAAUUUGUAUAACGUCGUAGAAGAAUAUUUUAAAAGAAGAUUAAUAUUCAAAAUUUAUUAUUAUAAUAAAAAUCAGAUCAUGUUGCAGUUUAUGGAUAAGAAGAAAUGGGUUACAAUAUUUUUAUAUAUACAAAUUAAUAAUUGAAAAUUAUUAUGAAGGUGGAUUUGAAAGUAAUUAAUUAUAUAUUUUUUUAAUGAUUUAAGCUCUAAAAUAUGC